rnacentral:rRNA from 1 species
UUCGGGGUGUAAACUCCUUUUAGUGGGGACGAACGCAGACGGUACCCACAGAAAAAGCCCCGGCUAACUACGUGCCAGCAGCCGCGGUAAUACGUAGGGGGCGAGCGUUGCCCGAAUUUACUGGGCGUAAAGCGCACGUAGGCGGCUCCGUAAGUCUGGUGUGAAAUCUCACGGCUCAACCGGGAGGCUGCACCAGAUACUGCGGAGCUCGAGGGCGGGAGAGGAGAUUGGAAUUCCCGGUGUAGCGGUGAAAUGCAUUGAUAUCGGGAGGAACACCAGUGGCGAAGGCGGAUCUCUGGCCCGUUGCUGACGCUGAGGUGCGAAAGCUGGGGGAGCGAAAGGGAUUAGAUACCCUGGUAGUCAAGGGCGAAUUCGUU